GCAUCAGCUCCUCAGCUGCAGGCAAUUAUUCUGGCAGUAUUUAGGAGCAGCGCACACAAUGAGUCUUUGCCAGAUCAUCUCCUAACCUCAGUUAGUUCACAGCCUCAUGUUCCUGUGUAUUUAUCAGUUUUAUCAUUACUUAGUCUGGACUCCGUACCUGGACUCGUCAUUCCAAACCCUGCCGUAGCCUUGCUUCUGGAUUCAGCUGCUGCUUAAUCUUUUUCAGACAAACUGCCAUUCUCACCUGCCUGCCUCCCUGCACACCUAUAUUGGACUCAGCACUCGUCUGGACCUCGCCUCGCCUCCACCUCCAGCUAAACCCCGCCUGCAAACACUGCCCUGGUCUGCCAGUUUCCACCAGCCCCACUCCAGUCUCAGCAGUUUUUUGUUUUCGCAAAUCACUUGGAGCUUCCGGUCUUUGGUUCUACGCCCGAGUCCAUUCCACGCCACGGGCCUCUGAGCCCUGACAACGGUCUAAACAUCUGGAAAGUCCUGGAGGAAGAGAAUGGCUGGACUCAUCUGGAUUCUGCUUUCUGCGUGCCUGCUGGGUUGUACCUCUCAAGUUUCUCUUUCAGACCAGAAAAAGUCACAGCUGAUCUGGACAGGACGUCACUCUGAC